rnacentral:misc_RNA from 1 species
UUUCCGUAGGUGAACCUGCGGAAGGAUCAUUACUGAGUGAGGGCCCCUCGGGGUCCGACCUCCCACCCGUGUUUAACGAACCUUGUUGCUUCGGCGGGCCCGCCUCACGGCCGCCGGGGGGCAGCUGCCCCCGGGCCCGCGCCCGCCGAAGCCACCUGCGAACGCUGUUUGAAGUAUGCUGUAUGAGACAAUUAUUAGAUUAAUUAAAACUUUCAACAACGGAUCUCUUGGUUCCG